CAGAAUCUUGCUAGGACCCUGCUCAAGCUUUCUGAUGCAUCUCGGAUAGUCUGGUUCAAGAAGCAUAAAGCUUAGCAAUGGUUACUACAAGAAGUGGUUUGAGAUGCUAGAAUUUGACAAAAAGGCGUCGUUUAAGGAGAGAAUAUUGACAUGUUAGCAUCUGUAGUGAAGUUUUUCAUCCCAUAUGUUUCAGUGCAGCCUCGAGUUCAACCGUGUUUCAAGUGUAAGCCUUCCUUUUCCCAUACAUGCAUCCUGCAAUUUCCAUCUUAAGCCUUCAAACAGAAUGCAAGUCCUUGGACAUGGAAACAGAUUUGGUGAUCCAAAGCUCCAUUCAAGGUAGCUUGCUGAUAUGACCCUGGAUAGCGCGGUUAACACAGAUAUCAUCGCGGAAGGAUCAAAUCGUCUCAAUGGUGUUUCUUGUUUUCCUCUAAAAAUAUGACUUUUGUGUGUUCUGUUUAUUGGUUUAGUACUUGUUUCCUAGAAUGGACGUGUUGUUUCCCUUUCUUAGAAUGUAAUAGUGCAUUUGCCAAGA